rnacentral:ncRNA from 1 species
AAAAAGACCAGGAACGGGAAGAGUAGCUAUGUUCAGGCUGCCAGAGAGUGGGUGUCAUCGGCUGGAAGCAUCCUUAAGUUAUGAAGAUUGUGAAGUGCCCCCGGGAGUUGAUCCUGCGAAAGAGUAAGUAGCGGGAUACGUUGACACGCGUUAAGUGUAUUAAGUGAAAGAAGAGGAUUCUUUUAUUAGAGUGGAACCGCGGAGAAGACUUCGUCUCUAUU